ensembl:snRNA U6 U6 spliceosomal RNA
AGAAAAGGGCUGACAAUUUCUUUAUUCCAAAAUCGGAUCGAUACAGAGAAGAUAAGCAUGGCCCCUGCGCAAGGAUGACACGCAAAAUUUCUUUAUCAGCUAAAAUUAUUU